rnacentral:rRNA from 1 species
GCUUGUCUCAAAGAUUAAGCCAUGCAUGUCUAAGUAUAAGUAUUAUACAGCGAAACUGCGAAUGGCUCAUUAAAACAGUUAUAGUUUACAUGAUAAUCGAAUUUACAUGGAUAACCGUGGUAAUUCUAGAGCUAAUACAUGCUGGCGUGCCCGACUUUUGCGGAAGGGCGGUAUUUAUUAGAUAUCAAGCCAAUAUUCCUUCGGGUCUAUUGUGGUGAAUCAUAGUAACUGAUCGAAUCCCUUUUUGGGAUAAAUCAUUCAAGUUUCUGCCCUAUCAGCUUUCGAUGGUAGUGUAUUGGACUACCAUGGCAGUCACGGGUAACGGAGAAUUAGGGUUCGAUUCCGGAGAGGGAGCCUGAGAAACGGCUACCACAUCUAAGGAAGGCAGCAGG